rnacentral:rRNA from 1 species
CCUACGGGGUGCUGCAGUCGAGAAUCAUUCACAAUGGGGGAAACCCUGAUGGUGCGACGCCGCGUGGGGGAAUGAAGGUCUUCGGAUUGUAAACCCCUGUCAUGUGGGAGCAAAUUAAAAAGAUAGUACCACAAGAGGAAGAGACGGCUAACUCUGUGCCAGCAGCCGCGGUAAUACAGAGGUCUCAAGCGUUGUUCGGAAUCACUGGGCGUAAGGCGUGCGUAGGCUGUUUCGUAAGUCGUGUGUGAAAGGCGCGGGCUCAACCCGCGGGCGGCACAUGAUACUGCGAGACUAGAGUAAUGGAGGGGGAACCGGAAUUCUCGGUGUAGCAGUGAAAUGCGUAGAUAUCGAGAGGAACACUCGUGGCGAAGGCGGGUUCCUGGACAUUAACUGACGCUGAGGCACGAAGGCCAGGGGAGCGAAAGGGAUUAGAUACCCGUGUAGUC